UGAACUCGCUGUGAAGAUGCAGUGUACCCGCGGCAAGACGGAAAGACCCCGUGAACCUUUACUAUAGCUUGACACUGAACAUUGAGCCUUGAUGUGUAGGAUAGGUGGGAGGCUUUGAAGUGUGGACGCCAGUCUGCAUGGAGCCGGCCUUGAAAUACCACCCUUUAAUGUUUGAUGUUCUAACGUGGACCCGUGAUCCGGGUUGCGGACAGUGUCUGGUGGGUAGUUUGACUGGGGCGGUCUCCUCCUAAAGAGUAACGGAGGAGCACGAAGGUUGGCUAAUCCUGGUCGGACAUCAGGAGGUUAGUGCAAUGGCAUAAGCCAGCUUGACUGCGAGCGUGACGGCGCGAGCAGGUGCGAAAGCAGGUCAUAGUGAUCCGGUGGUUCUGAAUGGAAGGGCCAUCGCUCAACGGAUAAAAGGUACUCCGGGGAUAACAGGCUGAUACCGCCCAAGAGUUCAUAUCGACGGCGGUGUUUGGCACCUCGAUGUCGGCUCAUCACAUCCUGGGGCUGAAGUAGGUCCCAAGGGUAUGGCUGUUCGCCAUUUAAAGUGGUACGCGAGCUGGGUUUAGAACGUCGUGAGACAGUUCGGUCCCUAUCUGCCGUGGGCGCUGGAGAACUGAGGGGGGCUGCUCCUAGUACGAGAGGACCGGAGUGGACGCAUCACUGGUGUUCGGGUUGUCAUGCCAAUGGCACUGCCCGGUAGCUAAAUGCGGAAGAGAUAAGUGCUGAAAGCAUCUAAGCACGAAACUUGCCCCGAGAUGAGUUCUCCCUGACCCUUUAAGGGUCCUGAAGGAACGUUGAAGACGACGACGUUGAUAGGCCGGGUGUGUAAGCGCAGCGAUGCGUUGAGCUAACCGGUACUAAUGAACCGUGAGGCUUAACCUU
rnacentral:rRNA from 1 species